rnacentral:tRNA from 1 species
GCUCUUGUAGAUUACUUGGCUAGAUCGUCUGCCUUUCAAGCAGGAGAAUCGGGUUCGAAACCCGACAAGAGUACCA